CCAUGUGAACAUCACUUGGACAUGGGUUAGUCGAUCCUAAGAGAUGGGGAAUCCUUGUAUCAAGGGUGCACUCUGCAUGAACAUCGAAAGAGAAUUGGGUUAAUAUUCUUGAACCGGGACAUGGUGGUGGACGACAAUGUUAGGAAAUCUGGAGAUGUCAUCGGGGGCCUGGGAAGAGUUAUCUUUUCUUUUUAACGACUUUCCCACCCUGAAAUCGGUUCAAUCGGAGAUAGGGUCCAACAUCUGGAAGAGCACCACACGUCUUGUGGUGUUUGGUGCCCCCUAUAUUAGUUUUGUUCAAUGCAUCUAUACAUAUCAUCCGAGCCCCAUGU
rfam:Picea glauca, whole genome shotgun sequence.